rfam:Aeromonas diversa 2478-85 Contig 18, whole genome shotgun sequence.
GCGGAAGUGGCGAAAUUGGUAGACGCACCAGAUUUAGGUUCUGGCGCCUAGGCGUGAGAGUUCGAGUCUCUCCUUCCGCA